AUGGCCACCUGUCACAGUUCUUCUGGGUCCUUCUGUAUCACUGAGUCCUGUAUCCUUGUAUUAUGGCCACCUGUCACAGUUCUUCUGGGUCCUUCUGUAUCACUGUGUCCUGUAUCCUUGUAUCAUGGCCACCUGUCACAGUUGUUCUGGGUCCUUCUGUAUCACUGUGUCCUGUAUCCUUGUAUCAUGGCCACCUGUCACAGUUGUUCUGGGUCCUUCUGUAUCACUGUGUCCUGUAUCCUUGUACUAUGGCCACCUGUCACAGUUGUUCUGGGUCCUUCUGUAUCACUGUGUCCUGUAUCCUUGUAUCAUGGCCACCUGUCACAGUUGUUCUGGGUCCUUCUGUAUCACUGUGUCCUGUAUCCUUGUAUCAUGGCCACCUGUCACAGUUGUUCUGGGUCCUUCUGUAUCACUGAGUCCUGUAUCCUUGUAUCAUGGCCACCUGUUACAGUUGUUCUGGGUCCUUCUGUAUCACUGUGUCCUGUAUCCUUGUACUAUGGCCACCUGUCACAGUUGUUCUGGGUCCUUCUGUAUCACUGUGUCCUGUAUCCUUGUACUAUGGCCACCUGUCACAGUUGUUCUGGGUCCUUCUGUAUCACUGUGUCCUGUAUCCUUGUACUAUGGCCACCUGUCACAGUUGUUCUGGGUUCUUCUGUAUCACUGUGUCCUGUAUCCUUGUAUCAUGGCCACCUGUCACAGUUGUUCUGGGUCCUUCUGUAUCACUGUGUCCUGUAUCCUUGUACUAUGGCCACCUGUCACAGUUGUUCUGGGUCCUUCUGUAUCACUGUGUCCUGUAUCCUUGUAUCAUGGCCACCUGUUACAGUUGUUCUGGGUCCUUCUGUAUCACUGUGUCCUGUAUCCUUGUACUAUGGCCACCUGUCACAGUUGUUCUGGGUCCUUCUGUAUCACUGUGUCCUGUAUCCUUGUACUAUGGCCACCUGUCACAGUUGUUCUGGGUCCUUCUGUAUCACUGUGUCCUGUAUCCUUGUACUAUGGCCACCUGUCACAGUUGUUCUGGGUUCUUCUGUAUCACUGUGUCCUGUAUCCUUGUAUCAUGGCCACCUGUCACAGUUCUUCUGGGUCCUGAUUCUCUCACUGAUGGCUCAGUUUUCCCCCCAGGGGGAUCAGCAUCAUUUCUAG
rnacentral:lncRNA from 1 species